UAUAUCUGUGCUAAUCAAUUACGGCAUGGAGAUUGUAUGAUCCGUAUCUUGGCUUGGCAACUUGGUAUAGCCUGUGACUGAGGUUUCUCUCUCACAUGCAAGCAAUGUUUGCAGCCAUGGCAUGGCUGACUUCUUUUUUGCCUUAUCAUAACACACAUCUGAGCCGUUUAACGUUGGCCUCAAAUCAUCUUAUUUGUGCAAAUCUUGCUUUUCUUUCUGGGCUAUGUUCAAUUACGGAAUUGAGAAAAUAUCCGAUUUGUAUCUUGGCGGGGUGACCAGUUACGGCUUUAUGUAGCAAACUGGUCUCUGCAGCCAUGGUGAUGUCGCCUUCUCUUAUGCUAUGGUAAGAGACACAACAAAUCUGAGCCCUUGCUGUUCUGCCGUUGAUUUCCUCCAUUAUAUAAAAACCAACAGCCCUUGUUUAUGAUAAAAGCAGAAAGAGCAAAAAGGAUUCAAGUUAUAUACACUCACAUCUUGGUCUUUCCUGGUGUGUGUUGUUUUUCGGUGCGGAAAGAAGGUACAUAAAGAGGCAAUGAUGAUGAUGUUUCUAUAUCUAGGCUAACCAAUUCGGGCAUUGAGAUGACCUGACCCGUAUCUUGGCGAGGUAACCCGGUAUGGCCUGUGAAUUGUGAUUGAGACUUCCUGUCAUUGACAUGCAACCGGUAUUUUGCAGACAUGGCGUGGCUGGCUUCUCUUUUGCCUUAUCAUAACACACAUUUGAGCCUCAUUUGCUUGAAAGGGAAAAAAAAGAAUCUUUUUGAUGAUUCAAUGUUGGGAUAUGUCGGAUGGGCGGUUUUCUGCUGCAAGUUAUAAAUCAUCCGGCACUCCUACUGUAUCACCAUAUUUGCUCAGUAUGAGCUGAGAAUAGCCUAGAAAGAAUGAAGAAUGAGGCAUCAGAGAGAUUGGGGUUUUUUGUAAAGGGUGGUUGUCCCUCUCUGUUAUGCCUGUGAUUCUCCUCUGGUAACCAAAAAAUACCCAACAGCCCUUUGAAUUAU
rnacentral:lncRNA from 1 species